rnacentral:lncRNA from 1 species
GAGAAAAUUAAUCAAAGUUUGUUUGACUAUGUUGAACCUAUGAGAAUUUAAUUGGACUUUUUGAAGUUUAUUUGAAUUGAAUUUGAGUUUCAACCUUAUUUGUUUAUUUUUUAUUUGCAUUUUAUUUUAAUUUAAAAAAUACCAAAAAAAUAUUGUUGACUUCUUGACUUGUUAUCUUCAUUUCUCUUCUGUUUGGUGUGGAUUGAUAUUGAUUUGAUUCACAUUUGAUCAAUUGGAUUUGGUUGUGGUCUUCUUU